AUUGAACGCCGGCGGCAGGCCUAACACAUGCAAGUCGAGCGGAUGAAGGGAGCUUGCUCCUGGAUUCAGCGGCGGACGGGUGAGUAAUGCCUAGGAAUCUGCCUGGUAGUGGGGGAUAACGUCCGGAAACGGGCGCUAAUACCGCAUACGUCCUGAGGGAGAAAGUGGGGGAUCUUCGGACCUCACGCUAUCAGAUGAGCCUAGGUCGGAUUAGCUAGUUGGUGGGGUAAAGGCCUACCAAGGCGACGAUCCGUAACUGGUCUGAGAGGAUGAUCAGUCACACUGGAACUGAGACACGGCCCAGACUCCUACGGGAGGCAGCAGUGGGGAAUAUUGGACAAUGGGCGAAAGCCUGAUCCAGCCAUGCCGCGUGUGUGAAGAAGGUCUUCGGAUUGUAAAGCACUUUAAGUUGGGAGGAAGGGCAGUAAGUUAAUACCUUGCUGUUUUGACGUUACCAACAGAAUAAGCACCGGCUAACUUCGUG
rnacentral:rRNA from 1 species